UACGUAGGGUGCAAGCGUUGUCCGGAUUUAUUGGGCGUAAAGCGCGUGUAGGCGGUUUGGUAGGUCCGUUGUGAAAACUCGAGGCUCAACCUCGAGACGCCGAUGGAAACCAUCAGACUAGAGUCCGGAAGAGGUGAGUGGAAUUCCUGGUGUAGCGGUGAAAUGCGCAGAUAUCAGGAAGAACACCCGUGGCUAAGGCGGCUCUCUAGUACGGUACUGACGCUGAGACGCGAAAGCGUGGGGAGCGAACAGG
rnacentral:rRNA from 1 species